rnacentral:rRNA from 1 species
GUCCACGCCGUAAACGAUGCACACUAGGUCGGGGCAGCUCUGACGCUGUCUCGGCCGAAGGAAAACUAUUAAGUGUGCCGCCUGGGGAGUACGGUCGCAAGGCUAAAACUCAAAGGAAUUGACGGGGGCUCACACAAGCGGUGGAGCAUGUUGCUUAAUUCGAGGCAACGCGAAGAACCUUAUCCUAGGCUUGACAUGUAUGGAUUAGCUGUUGGAAACUUCAGUGACGCCCUUGGGUGGAAC